rnacentral:sRNA from 1 species
UGUUAAAUAUUAGCAUAGAAGAGUUAGUGAAUCACACUGUUCACACAUCU